rnacentral:lncRNA from 1 species
CCUCUCUCAACCACAUUCCCUCUGGCUUCAUCACCAGCCUCUACAAUUAUUUACGUAAUCAAUUCAACAGACCCCAGAACCCUUGUGAAUCUCGAAACAGUCCUCGGCGUAGCACGCAUACAGACAAUGUGAGUCCUACCAGCCCUUUUCUCUCCAUCUCCUUAUCCAACAUUAAAACACAAGACAGACACGGAAACCUACAGAGGCCGAGAAGCCCCGAGGCUGCGGAGCCAGUGACCCCCAUCUCAGUGGCUUAGAGAACCUUCUCUUACAUACAACACUACCCAGCUGUCUGCUUCCACAGACAUGCACCGUGAGGCUGUGAGGUUCGGGUUGGGCUAAGGUCCAGCUGCUGCCCUAGGAGCAGGC